UCUAGGGAGAGACAGGGACAGUGUGUAAUGUGAGAAUAACUCAAUUGGCUUUGCAGUUGACUCUAAUUUUCAUUUCGAUCCAUAGACAUGGAGCUGCUGCAGGAGAUGGACCACUUCCUGUAGGUAACGAUCCAUAGACAUGGAGCUGCUGCAGGAGAUAGACCACUUCCUGUAGGUAACGAUCCAUAGACAUGGAGCUGCUGCAGGAGAUAGACCACUUCCUGUAGGUAACGAUCCAUAGACAUGGAGCUGCUGCAGGAGAUAGACCACUUCCUGUAGGUAACGAUCCAUAGACAUGGAGCUGCUGCAGGAGAUAGACCACUUCCUGUAGGUAACGAUCCAUAGACAUGGAGCUGCUGCAGGAGAUAGACCACUUCCUGUAGGUAACGAUCCAUAGACAUGGAGCUGCUGCAGGAGAUAGACCACUUCCUGUAGGUAACGAUCCAUAGACAUGGAGCUGCUGCAGGAGAUAGACCACUUCCUGUAGGUAACGAUCCAUAGACAUGGAGCUGCUGCAGGAGAUAGACCACUUCCUGUAGGUAACGAUCCAUAGACAUGGAGCUGCUGCAGGAGAUAGACC